rfam:TPA: Bos taurus chromosome 7, whole genome shotgun sequence.
UCCCUGACGGUCCAGUUGUUAGGACUCCAUGCUCUUACUGCCAAGGACCCAGGUUCAAUCCCUGGUCAGGGAA